AAUCAACGCUGGCGGCGUGCCUCAGACAUGCAAGUCGAACGAGAAAGUCCCCUUCGGGGGAUAAGUAAAGUGGCGCACGGGUGAGUAACACGUAGGUAAUCUACCUUCGGGUGGGGAAUAACCCAGGGAAACUUGGGCUAACACCGCAUAAUGCAGCGGCACCACAUGGUGACAGUUGUUAAAGCGGGGGAUUUUCGGACCUCGCGCCUGAAGAGGAGCCUGCGGCGGAUUAGCUAGUUGGUAAGGAACGGCUUACCAAGGCAACGAUCCGUAGCCGGCCUGAGAGGGCGGUCGGCCACACUGACACUGACAUACGGGUCAGACUCCUACGGGAGGGCAGCAGUCGGGAAUUUUGGGCAAUGGGCGAAAGACCUGACCCAGCAACGCCGCGUGAAGGAUGAAAUCCCUCGGGAUGUAAACUUCGCAAGAAUGGGAAGAAUUAGCGAGCGCUAAUACCGCUCGUGAUGACGGUACCAUUUGUAAGCUCCGGCUAACUCCGU
rnacentral:rRNA from 1 species